rnacentral:sRNA from 1 species
AGUUGUCUAAGUUAUCUUCAAGAGAUUAUACUCAUUUUUGAAAAUUUGGAAAGGGUUCUGAACAAACUAUGAGAAUUUCAAAUAAAUAUUGCAAUAUCCUAUUCUACACAUUCCAAAACGAUCGAAUUAUAAGUGGAAAUAUGUGAUACCAAUUUUUCAACCCUUUAGCUGUGUGACAUGUGAUCCCUAUGUGUUGAUAUGUUACUGAAAUCACUUUCAAUGUAUGCUCUCAUAACAGACCCAACUUUAGCAGAUUUCUCAUUUAAAAUAGCCGGCGCAAUGUUUGCUUAAACAACAGCACAAUUUUUGUUAAAACCGCAGGUAUCUUUGGAUGAACAUCAGGAGACAAAGGCUCUUCAAAAAAAGACACACAAGAUCUGCGAGCACACUAUCAGCAAGCAGACUAUAUUGUUAUGUACACAGAAAAAAAAAACUCUAAGA